UACAGAGGUCUCAAGCGUUGUUCGGAUUCAUUGGGCGUAAAGGGUGUGUAGGUGGCGCCGUAAGUCGGGUGUGAAAUUUCGGAGCUUAACUCCGAAACUGCAUUCGAUACUGCGGUGCUUGAGGACUGGAGAGGAGACUGGAAUUCAUGGUGUAGCAGUGAAAUGCGUAGAGAUCAUGAGGAAGACCAGGUGGACGAAGGCGGGUCUCUGGACAGUUCCUGACACUGAGAGCACGAAGGACCAGGGGAGCAAACGGGAUUAGAGUACC
rnacentral:rRNA from 1 species